AUAGUUUCUCUCUCUCUCUCUCUCUCUCACGUGUCCUCUCCCCCAUGGCCAUAGUGUUCUAAUUUACCUCUUUCUACAGAAACGUCCAUUGCCGGCUGUCAAACGUCAUUGGAAGUCUAUCGUCUUUUUCAAUUAGAUUAGACAUGGGAUUGCUGUGGCGACCAUCGUCAUUUUGGCCGGAGCUACAAUGGCAGCCAUCACCGGCUCUGGCGAUCGAUCCAAAACGUUGAGGUCGACACUGCUCAUCCGUGACUUCAUCAUAGUCGUCGGUAUUGCAUUUUGUGACAUUUCCUAGAAAAUGUGUUAACUUUCGGCUUUGGGUUUUUAAGAAAUUGUGUUCUUGUCUUUGUUUUAAAUUCAACAAUAGAGGUUUUAACUUUAGCUUUUCUUUCUUGUUGAAGAUUGAGACUUGCAAAUGAGUGCUAAUUUUGUGAAUUGAUUUCACCUGGAGGCUGAGUUUGAAUUUCCCAAUUAUUCAUUGCAUUUAUUGCGCCUUUUCUGCCUUUUUCAUGUCUAUUAUUAUGCUAGUUCUUGGAAUCUUUAUGUGGAGUUGUGUUUCUAGUUGAAUUCAUUUAUCUCUUACUUGUCUUCUUCUGAGCAGCCUUACAUUGAAUUGACAAAUAGCUAAGGCACUGGUAAGAUUACAGAAUUAGAGACUUAUAUUCAGACAAACAAGCAGAAGUUUGAACGUUGCUUCCAUUUAACUUCCAUUUUGGUUUAAUUUUUUGGCCGUCAUGAUGGAUAAAGAAUGGGUGCAUAUAUCAAGGAAACCGAGAAAAUGAAUCUCAGAAUAGCAUAGUACUUCUGCCUCUGCCUGUAGCAGGAAACCGAGAAAAUGAAUCUCAGAAUAGCAUAGUACUUCUGCCUCUGCCUAUUUUUCUCAAAAUAUUAAUUCUGCCUCUAUAUGCAGCAAAAAAAAAAAAGUAUGUGAAUAUGUGGUGAUGUUUUGAUGACAAAGCUGUUGAGCUUAAAGCUAAGUUGACAAGGCAUUGGAGAGUGAAAAUGUUGAAGAUGGAGAUUGAAGAUCGAAGAUUACCAACAGUGAAUGUGAAAUUAAAUACUGUUGAUUUCAGCUGUGAAUUGGAGCCUCAGUAGUAGUAUUAAUCCUUGUUAUAGAACGAUUAACUGACUACAAUUACCAACUCAUAGAAAUGCUUUCCUAAUAAUGUAAUUUCUU